AUCAUGAAUACUUCUAAUGCACACGAUCUGAAAGCCGGAAGUCUGAGAUCAGAGUGACAGCAUGGUCAGCCUCUGCUGAGGACUGUCUUCAGGGUUGCAGACUGCAGACUUCUCAUUCAAUGGGGAAAGGACUCCCUAUUCAAUGAAAGGGGCUGGGAUAAAUGGCUAGCCAUAUGCAGAAGAUUGAAACUGGACUCCUCUCUUCACACCCUACACAAAAAUCAACGAAAGACAGAUUAAAGACUUAAAUGUAAAACCCAAAACUAUAAAAACCCUGGAAGACAAUCUAGACAACACCAUUCAGGACAUAGGAACAGGCAAAGAUUUUAUGACAAGGAUGCCAAAAGGAAUUGCAAUGAAGCAAAAAUGGACAAAUAGGAUCUAAUUAAAGUAAAGAGCUUCUGCACAUCAAAAUAAACUAUCAACAGAGUGAACAGGUAACCUACAGAAUGAGAGAAAAUUUUUGCAAACUAUGCAUCUGACAAAGGUCUACUAUCUAGCACCUAUAAGAAACUUAAAUUUACAAGAAAAAACCAAACAACUCCAUUAAAAAGGGGGCAAAAGACAUGAACAGACAUUUCUCAAAAGGAGACAUACAUGUGGCCAAGAAGUAUAUGAAAAAAAAGCUCAACAUCACUGAUCAUUACAGAAAUGCAAAUCAAAACCACAAUGAGAUACCAUCUUACACCGGUCAGAAUGGUAUUAAUAAGUCAAAAAAUAACAGAUGCGGCUGGGCACGGUGGCUCACGCCUGUAAUCCCAACACUUUGGGAGGCUGAGGCGGGUGGAUUAUGAGGUCAGGAGAUGGAAACUAUCCUGGCCAAUAUGGUGAAACCCCAUCUCUACUAAAAAUACAAAAAUUAGCCAGGAGUGGUGGCGUGUGCCUAUGGUCCUAGCUACUAAUGAGGCUUGAACUAAUGAGAAUCGCUUGAACCUGGGAGGCAGAUGUUGCAGUGAGCCAAGAUUACACCACUGCACUCCAGCCUGGGUGACAGAGCGAGACUCCGUCUCAUAAAAAAAAACAAAACAAACAAACAAACAAAACCCCCAAAAAACAAACAAAAAACAAAACAGAUGCUAGCAAGGUUCUGGAGAAAAAGGAAAGCUUAUACACUGUUGGUGGGAGUGUAAAUUAGUUCAACCAUUUUGGAAGAUAGUGUGCAAUUCCUCAAAGACCUAAAGACAGAAAUAUCAUUAAACUCAGAAAUUCUGUUCCUGGGUAUAUACCUAAAGUAAUAUAAAUCGUUCUAUGAUAAAGACUUAUACAUGUGUAUGUUCAUUGCAGCACUGUUCACAAUAGCAAAGACAUGAAAUCAACCUAAAUGACCAUCAAUAUUAGACUAGAUAAGGAAAAUGUGGUACAUGUAUACCAUGGAAUACUCUGCACCGUAGAAAAGAACAAGAUAAUGUCUUUUACAGGAACACAGAUGAAGCUGGAAGCCGUUAUCCUUAGCAAACUAAUGCAGGAACAGAAAACCAAAUACUGCAUGUUCUCACUAAUAAAUGGGAGCUAAGUGAUGAGAACACAUGGACACAUAAAAAGGAACAACAGACACUGGGCCUAUCAGAUGGCGGAGGGUAGGAGGAGGGAGAGGAUGAGGAAAAACAAUUAAUGGAUACUAGGCAUAAUACCCGGGUGAUGAAAUAAUCUGUAAACAAAUCCCUGUGAUCCAAGUUUACCUAU
ensembl:lncRNA GNAO1-DT GNAO1 divergent transcript